rnacentral:rRNA from 1 species
AGUGAACGCUGGCGGUAGGCCUAACACAUGCAAGUCGAACGGCAGCACAGUAAGAGCUUGCUCUUACGGGUGGCGAGUGGCGGACGGGUGAGGAAUACAUCGGAAUCUACUUUUUCGUGGGGGAUAACGUAGGGAAACUUACGCUAAUACCGCAUACGACCUACGGGUGAAAGCAUGGGAUCUUCGGACCUUGCGCGAUUGAAUGAGCCGAUGUCGGUUUAGCUAGUUGGCUGGGUAAAGGCCCACCAAGGCGACGAUCCGUAGCUGGUCUGAGAGGAUGAUCAGCCACACUGGAACUGAGACACGGUCCAGACUCAUACGGGAGGCAGCAGUGGGGAAUAUUGGACAAUGGGCGCAAGCCUGAUCCAGCCAUACCGCGUGGGUGAAGAAGGCCUUCGGGUUGUAAAGCCCUUUUGUUGGGAAAGAAAAGCAGCAGGUUAAUACCCCGCUGUUCUGACGGUACCCAAAGAAUAAGCACCGGCUAACUUCGUG